GGGCUGUGUUGUCCCCUGGCCCCCCCCGGAGGCGGCGGAGGUGGGAGAGGUAAAGCUGCUCCAGCUCGCGGGCCACGGCCUCGUCCUCAGCGUUCUGUGUUGGGGGCUGCUCUGCUUCCAGGGGGGCAGCGAUGGGGCAGGUUCGGGGUCAGGGUCUGCGCUGCAGCAGAGGGGUGGGGGCUGCUCCUCCUCCACCUCUUGUGGCCUGCCCUGCCCCGGCCUCAUCCAGCUCUCGGGGUCCUGCCCC
rnacentral:lncRNA from 1 species